rnacentral:rRNA from 1 species
AUUGAACGCUGGCGGCAUGCUUUACACAUGCAAGUCGAACGGUAACAGGUCUUCGGAUGCUGACGAGUGGCGAACGGGUGAGUAAUACAUCGGAACGUGCCUAGUAGUGGGGGAUAACUACUCGAAAGAGUAGCUAAUACCGCAUGAGAUCUACGGAUGAAAGCAGGGGACCUUCGGGCCUUGUGCUACUAGAGCGGCUGAUGGCAGAUUAGGUAGUUGGUGGGGUAAAGGCUUACCAAGCCUGCGAUCUGUAGCUGGUCUGAGAGGACGACCAGCCACACUGGGACUGAGACACGGCCCAGACUCCUACGGGAGGCAGCAGUGGGGAAUUUUGGUCAAUGGGCGAAAGCCUGAUCCAGCAAUGCCGCGUGCAGGAUGAAGGCCCUCGGGUUGUAAACUGCUUUUGUACGGAACGAAAAGCCUGGGGCUAAUAUCCCCGGGUCAUGACGGUACCGUAAGAAUAAGCACCGGCUAACUACGUG